rnacentral:rRNA from 1 species
CCUACGGGUGGCAGCAGUGAGGAAUAUUGGACAAUGGACGCAAGUCUGAACCAGCCACGCCGCGUGCAGGAAGACGGCUCUAUGAGUUGUAAACUGCUUUUGUACGAGGGUAAACGCAGAUACGUGUAUCUGUCUGAAAGUAUCGUACGAAUAAGGAUCGGCUAACUCCGUGCCAGCAGCCGCGGUAAUACGGAGGAUUCAAGCGUUAUCCGGAUUUAUUGGGUUUAAAGGGUGCGUAGGCGGUCGGAUAAGUUAGAGGUGAAAUCCCGAGGCUCAACUUCGGAAUUGCCUCUGAUACUGUUCGGCUAGAGAGUAGUUGCGGUAGGCGGAAUGUAUGGUGUAGCGGUGAAAUGCUUAGAGAUCAUACAGAACACCGAUUGCGAAGGCAGCUUACCAAGCUACUUCUGACGUUGAGGCGCGAAAGCGUGGGGAGCGAACAGGAUUAGAUACCCCAGUAGUC